CUAGCUCUAUACUUUAAUUUUUUGGGUUAAUUGUCUAUGGAAAACCAAACUUUGAAAAAUCCUACAUCUAUAAGACUCGAUAUGCCUCGCCAGAUCAACAGCUUUAAAAUUGUAAAGUAAUUAAUAAAAUAAAAGAUGAUGUUUCUCUUCUGAAAGUGUUGCUUGCAUCACUCUUUGAUCUAUUACAAUCAGUCAAUUUAUCUACAAAUGUUAAAUAUACCAUGAAAGAUAUUUCCAAUGUUGCCUGGGCGUUUACUAUGAUGUAAAACUAUUAUAAAAUAUGUGUUAAUUCAAGUUAGAAACUAUGUUUGUGCGAAAUAUCAUCCACAUCCCUUCGGACAUUUUGUUGAGAUUAAGCAACGCACACCCAAACAUACAAACUUUCACAUUAACAAAAUAAUAUUGCAUUACUAGGAUAGAUUAGAAACUGGAUAUUCGACCUUAUGCUUCUAACAUUGAAGACGAUGCUCUCGAAAAUCUGUAUUAAUAUCAUUGAAUAGUAAUCACUUGUCUGAUAUACUAAAUGUCAAUAAACUAUAUCAAACUGAUAAGACCAUUGUCUUCCAAGGGCUUGAUAGAACAACAGCAUUGUUAUGAUAGACAUUGAUUUAUAACAUCAAUUAUUGUGAUGAUGUAUAAAAUAACAAAUAAAGUUUAUUGGAUUAAGAAAGUUAAAACGUAAAUAAUUGUAUUAUUUAGUCAAUAAAUAUUGAACAUUAAUAAAAUAUAAUUAGUACAACACUGUUAGUGACUGGUAAAAAUUUAUAAAAAUACACAAUAUUACAAAUUAUAGUAAUAUUACUGACUUUUAAGAGUAUAGAAAGAAGGACUACCCAAACUGUUCAGUGAUUAUGAGAAUAUGUGGUUAUCCCAACAUAACAGAACCUUCUUUGAGAUAUGAACUAUAGAUCUCAAUGCCAAUCAGCUGUUCCACCCUUUGUACCAGAUGAGAGAAUUGUUUUGCACUAUUAAUAUCAGGACAACAGAGAACCUUCAUACACAUCUUGAAACUUAGCAAUUAUAGCAUGGUCCAAUUCUUUAAAGGGACAGUCAGCGUGUACAUCACCACUGUGUAGUUCUUCCCAGCGCUUGUAGUCAACCUUUUUCUUAUUGCUUUAAUGGCAUCUUUAGGUCCGUCCGUACUGCUGUUUAUUAUAUCGCAUAUUUCCAUGUUCAGAGCCCAAUUUUCAGAUGGUAAUGCGCCAUCUGUGGCUUGUUCUAUAAUCAAAAUUAAUGUAAACACACAAGUGAUCGUGAGGUCAAAAUAAUUAACAGAUACAUAAUAUUUGAUUUUUUUUUAAUACUAUAAAAAUGUUCGUAUAUAUUGCGGUAUGUAACAUUUGUAUGCGAAUACCGCAAUUGCACUACAUAAGAAAUUGGAAUCUUGUAGUGCGCAACAAAAAGAAAAUGUACUUCUUUCAUGGAACAAUAAACUUACAACUUUAGCAUCAA